rnacentral:rRNA from 1 species
GAACCUACGGGACGCAGCAGUGGGGAAUAUUGCACAAUGGGGGAAACCCUGAUGCAGCGACGCCGCGUGAGUGAAGAAGUAUUUCGGUAUGUAAAGCUCUAUCAGCAGGGAAGAAAAUGACGGUACCUGACUAAGAAGCCCCGGCUAACUACGUGCCAGCAGCCGCGGGAAUACGUAGGGGGCAAGCGUUAUCCGGAUUUACUGGGUGUAAAGGGAGCGUAGACGGAAAUGCAAGUCUGAGGUGAAAAUCCGGGGCCAAACCCCGGAAGUGCAUUGGAAACUGUA